CAAUCGGCCCUUUUUAGGGCCAUUAACAAUAUGUCUUACGUAGAA
rfam:Trichomalopsis sarcophagae strain Alberta scaffold16927, whole genome shotgun sequence.